UCGAAGGCUGACCGUUAAACCGCCAGCGACUCUUUCCGAAUUUGAAUUUUUAAAUUUUUCCGUAAAUUGAGAAGUCGCGUUUUCUUCUUUGCGAAGAGAAAGUGAGAUAAACAGAAAAAAAGGUGGAUACGAAGAAACAAUAAAGCAGAGUAAGAAAGAAAGAGAGAGAAGAAAACAGUAAAAAUAUACAAAGAGCAGAAAAAAGGAGAGAGAAAAGAAAAAGAAAACAACAGAAAAAACGAUUAAAAAAACCGAGGCUGACUCUCCAAACAAGGAAAGAAAAACAAACAAGCCAGCAAGAAAAUAAGAAAAUAGAAAAAUAAUUUAAAAUGGGUUACAAACUCGGAGAAAUUCCUGAGGAAGUGGUUGACUUAGUGCAAAGCGAAGACGAGGAAAAUGUGAAUGGAAAUUGUCACGAAAAUACGAGCCAUUUUACCUUCACUUUUGGAGGAGAGCCAUCUGUUGGCAAUGGAUAAUUCCAUUCCCUCGGAGGCAACAUACAACUCUAAAUACCGCAUGUCUAUGAAGGACAAAAACGCACGCAGACGCAACGACGCAAAAAUGGCGGCUCUCCUGACGUGGCUGACGAAGCUCCUACUACGCCUUCAGACUGACGUAUCGACGUGGGUGGAACGUGGAGGAUUUACGUCUUUUUAUUAUUCUUUUUGUUUUUUAUUUAUUUUAUCACUGUGAGGAGCGAACUACGUCUGAUUGAUGUAGUAGUUUGAUUUCGUCAAGACAGAAGGAGGGGAAACGAACGUAAAGAAUAUAUCCUCAGUCAGUGUGAAAAAAAAAUGUUUUACUUUUUGUGAAUAUCAAAUUUCAACUGAUGUAGUUAUAAUACCGCCAGACAAAGGAGGCAGAAACGAGCGUAUUUUAUAGUUUCUUGGAAAAAUGGAUCAUAUGUUAAAUCUGUGGAAGAUUUUGAAUUUGUUUUAUGUACCAUUUAGACAAAAAGAAAAAACAAAAAUGGUUUAUAAGCUUAUUGUGAAAAGCUGACUUUUUCUGGUUAGUCGCUAACUGUUACAGAAUGAAGUAUUUUAGAAAGAUGAAUGCCUUUUUGAUUGCUGUCCUAAUGAAGGAGUGAAUAAAGAAAUCAAAUAUA